rnacentral:rRNA from 1 species
UACGAGGGGUGCAAGCGUUGCUCGGAAUUAUUGGGCGUAAAGGGUAUGUAGGUGGUCUCAUUUGUCUGGGGUGAAAGCCUUGAGCUUAACUCAAGAAGUGCCCCGGAAACGGUGAGACUCGAGUACUGGAGAGGGUCGUGGAAUUCCCGGUGUAGCGGUGAAAUGCGUAGAGAUCGGGAGGAACACCAGAGGCGAAGGCGGCGACCUGGACAGUAACUGACACUCAACUACGAAAGCGUGGGUAGCAAACAGG